rnacentral:rRNA from 1 species
UACGAAGGGGGCUAGCGUUGCUCGGAAUCACUGGGCGUAAAGGGCGCGUAGGCGGCUUAUCAAGUCGGGGGUGAAAGCCCGUGGCUCAACGACGGAAUGGCCUUCGAUACUGGUAGGCUUGAGACCGGAAGAGGACAGCGGAACUGCGAGUGUAGAGGUGAAAUUCGUAGAUAUUCGCAAGAACACCAGUGGCGAGGGCGGCUGUCUGGUCCGGUUCUGACGCUGAGGCGCGAAAGCGUGGGGAGCAAACAGG